CUAAUGGUACGUUCUUUUGAUGGCAAGUUCCACACUGAGUGCCGCACUCAGAGCUGUCAAAGUGUUUUUUUGAAGAAACUCGCGCUAGUUCCGCACGAGUUUCGCCGCCAUCUUGGAACUGAAACUCUAGUGCCGCACUCGAUAUUUUUUCAGUUUCAUGCGAGUUCCACGCACACUGACAGAUGACGUUCGAUUGAACCAAAACUGGCACCGACGAGUGCGGCACUCAGUGCCGCACUGGCUGUUCAAACGAACGUACCAUAAGUUUCGGUAUACAAAACUAACGUGUAAAUCAAAGUGACAGUCGACGCCGUCGAGCGCGCUUCCAAAUUUCUGUCAGAUUUUAGAUAAACAUACAAGAAAAAAAAUUUUAGUGACGAGUAUUUUUGAAAUUUGUAACCACAUGACGAGAUCCUGUCCAAUGAUGGGUUCGGCAUCCACCGGAAGAUCCAGCAGCCGCCGAUUUCCUCCCUGUGGCGGUAGCAUUGGCGAAUUCCGCCGUUCCGGUCGUUCAUGCCAGAGGCGGCGACUUUUGCUGACUGCAAACCUACGACCGUUGCCUCGCACGAAUCUGCUUGUUCCAUCCGUACUGGGAACGAUGAGCAAGCCGCGUUGGGUGUUGUUUAGGAAGAGCAUGACCCCUCCAUGGUCGUCCCAGCGGAAGUGCAGCUGGAAAUCAAGGUGAACCUAUGAGAUAGCUCCAGCUGGAUGCCAAACCAGCGGGAGAAACUGCAGAAGACGAAAUCGAGCUUUAUAAUGAUUUUGAUGCAUUCCUCCAAACCGAGACGUAACCAGUACAAGCUUAUUUGACUUCUUCGGAAGUAACCGCUUCAGGCCACAACCCUUAAGAAUUCGUUGCCUUUAACCUGACAACUUCCGGAAGGCCAAUCAUGUUUUGUUUACAGCAGAAUCUGUAAAAUAGAUUCAAACUUCUUGAAAAACUGCAUUGUUUUGACUCUAUUGGUCUUUUUAGUUUCUUUUUGUU